UUUUUUUUUUUUUUUUUUUUUUUUUCUAGUUUUCACAUUUUUAAAAAACUGAGCUGAAUGUCUACACAUUACUACUAGCACCAGCAACUUCCAUAGCACUAACAAAAAUACGAACCAAAUAUCAUUUUAUUUGU
rnacentral:ribozyme from 1 species